AAUCAACGCUGGCGGCGUGCCUAACACAUGCAAGUCGAGCGCGAAAGGGGAGCAAUCCCCAAGUAGAGCGGCGAACGGGUGAGUAACGCGUGGGUAAUCUGCCUCCGAGUGGGGAACAACACCGGGAAACUGAUGCUAAUACCGCAUGACAUCGUUGGACCUUCGGAUCUGACGAUCAAAGCCGGGGACCGCAAGGCCUGGCGCUUGGAGAGGAGCCCGCGUCCGAUUAGCUAGUUGGUGGGGUAAUGGCCCACCAAGGCGACGAUCGGUAGCCGGCCUGAGAGGGCGGACGGCCACACUGGGACUGAGACACGGCCCAGACUCCCUACGGGAGGCAGCAGUGGGGAAUCUUGCGCAAUGGGCGAAAAGCCUGACGCAGCGACGCCGCGUGAGGGAUGACGG
rnacentral:rRNA from 1 species